GGACUGGUCGCUCUGCCGCUGGCUGCCUCUCCGAACUGGGGCGAGGUGUUCGAGGGUAAGGGUCGCGGGCGUUGUGCGGCUGGGAGGCGGCUACCGAGGCGAGGCGACGGAAAUAAAGCAGCAGACGGGGAGGGCGCCGAUUUAAAGCGCCUUUGUGUGGCUCGCUGCUCGCCUCUGCUCCACUCCUCUCACCCUCCUCCCACCGCGCGUUUGCUCGGCGGGCGCGGGCGCGGGCGUGGGCGUGCCGCCGCCGCUGGCUCUCAGAUCCUUAUCCGAUCCCCUCUGCGGCGACGAGGCCGUCCGGAGCCUGGAGCUGCUGUUUCUGGUCCGGAUGGGGUUGGCGGAGCAGCGGGUGGAGGUGCGGGGCGCGGCGAAUCGGCGGUGAUCCCGGCAUGGGGUAGAGUGGAGGGGGUGUGCGUGGCAUGGAGCCGUCCCGUGGCGCCGUUGGCGGCGGGCGGCGGUGGGGGGACGCGGCCGCGGAGGCGGAGGCGGAGGCUGAGGGCGACGCGGCCGAGGAAGGGAGGCGGCCGGAGGAGGGGGGAGAGGUGAGCCUGCGGGAGUGGCUGGACCGCCCGGGCCGCGCGGUGGAGGCGGCGGAGUGCGUGCAUGUGUUCAGGCAGGUGGCGGAGGCGGUGGCCGUCGCGCACGCGCAGGGGGUGGCCGUGGGCAGCGCGCGCCCGUCGUGCUUCGUCGUGUCGCCGCCCUUCGCGCGCGUCGCCUUCAUCGAGUCCGCCUCCGGCUCCGACGCCUCGGGCUCCUGCUCGGGCUCCGACGCCUCCGAGGACGCCGACCCGGACGCCUCGCCUCCGCGGCGACGCGACGGUGCCGCCCGCGGGGAGGAGCACGCCGGGAAGACGUUCCCGCUCAAGAGCGUGCUAGCAAUGGAGCUCAAUUGGUACACCAGCCCCGAGGAAGCGGAUGACAGCGGCGGGAGUGGCUCUAGCUUUGCCUCCGACAUCUACAGACUGGGUGUGCUCUUGUUCGAGCUGUUCUGUACGUUUGAAACCAUCGAGGAGAAGAUGCGGGCGAUGGCGAAUCUGCGGCAUCGGGUGUUGCCGCCGCAGCUGCUGCUCAAAUGGCCCAAGGAAGCAUCCUUCUGCCAGUUGCUCAUGCACCCCGUGCCGGAAACCAGACCGAAGAUGAGUGAGGUGCUGCAGAGUGAGUUUCUUAAUCAGUCUCGGAAUAGCCUAGAAGAGCGUGAAGCGGCACUUAGGUUACGUGAAGAGAUAGAAGAACAAGAAUUACUGCUGGAUUUUCUUCAACAGUUGCAGAAAAGAAAGAAAGACAUAGCAGACAAUUUGCAGGACACUGUUGCCUUUCUUUCUUCUGACAUCAAUGAGGUCCUCCACCAGCAAUCUGCAUUAGGGGGGCAAUGCGUGAACUUCUCAUCUGAUUUGGAUAAAGAGGUGUGCUCUGGAACUGUUGAAGAUCAGAGUGACUGUGGAUCCAGGAAGCGUUUCAGACCUGAGCUGCAAGGUGUUGACAUGGAGGAACAAAAUCAUAGUGUGGAAGAAUGUUCCAGAACAGUGCCAUCCUCUGAGUUAAUCCAGGAAAGUGUUUUGUCAAAAAGCUCCAGGUUGAUGAAGAACUUCAAAAAACUUGAAACAGCCUACUUUUUAACAAGGUCCAAGUUGGUGAAGCAAGUUGGUAACCAAAUAAGUAGCUGUCAUCAAGUUGCUAAGAGGGCUACUGGUUCAGCUGUUGGGACUGAGGGAAGUUCAAUAGAUAAUUUUCCUUUGGAAAGGCAAUAUGGUAGAAGGCAAAGAGGUUGGGUGAACUCUUUUCUUGAGGGAUUGUGCAAAUACUUGUCAUUCAGUAAGUUGAAAGUACAGGCAGAACUGAAACAGUGUGAUUUGCUGAACUCGUCGAACUUAGUAUGCUCCUACCGGGAUAAAGAGUUUUUUGCAACCGCUGGUGUGAAUAAGAAGAUAAAAGUGUUUGAGUAUAAUAUGAUUGUAAAUGAACAGCGUGACAUUCACUAUCCUGUGGUAGAGAUGUCCAAUAGAUCAAAAUUAAGUUGUAUUUGCUGGAACAGUUAUAUGAAGAGCCAUAUAGCAUCUAGUGAUUUUGAGGGUAUAGUGCAGGUUUGGGAUGUUACUAGGAGUCAAGUUUUUGUUGACAUGAGGGAGCAUGAGAGACGAGUGUGGUCGGUGGACUUCUCAAUUGUGGACCCAACAAAAUUGGUCAGUGGGAGUGAUGAUGGAUCUGUAAAGCUGUGGGAUAUGAAUCAGGCAAUUUUAUUCUUGCACCUACUGCUGGGAGUAUUGGCACUAUUAGAACAAGGGCAAAUGUGUGCUCUGUGCAAUUUCAACCUGAUACUGCUCGCUCCAUUGCCAUCGGCUCGGCAGAUCACAAAAUUUACUGCUAUGAUCUCCGUAACAUACGAGCUCCUUAUUGCACAAUGGUUGGGCACACAAAAACAGUAAGCUAUGUUAAGUAUCUAGAUGCAUCAACAAUAGUAUCUGCAUCUACUGACAACUCAUUGAAGCUCUGGGACUUGUCGAUGAGUCCAGGAAGGAUAAUUGACAAUCCAAUUCAAACAUUUACAGGGCAUACAAAUACAAAGAAUUUUGUUGGCCUUUCCAUAUCUGAUGGUUACAUUGCUACUGGCUCCGAAACAAAUGAGGUUUUUGUCUACCACAAAGAAUUUCCCAUGCCAGUGUUGGCAUAUAAGUUCACCGUGGCGGACCCGAUAUCAGGCCAGGAGAUUGACGAUCCGGCACAGUUCAUUUCAUGCGUCUGUUGGAGGGGGCAGUCCACAACUCUUCUUUCUGCUAACUCCAGCGGCAACAUCAAGAUCUUGGAAAUGGACUGACUCUGUACGACUGGAUUGCGCAUCUGCCCAGUCUCGGGUAGAAAGGACUGACUUCUUACCGAGGGUGUGAUUCUUUGGUUGUCUUCGAAGUUUCUGCACUUGGAUUCAGAGAUGCCAACGAGUUGCCAAAGCGGUAACCUGAUCCAAGUUGCGGAGUUGGGGAGGUAGGAGUAGCUGUAACAGAUUUAGCAUGGAUUGAUAGGAUUAUAGAUUAGCGUGGUAGCAGAAGUAGGAAACGAAAUUGUGGUGUCGGGUGGCCCCACAAGGAAAGGCUUUUUGUACAUCAUUGGUUCGAGGUAUACUUGUACAGGGAAUCAUCCCAAGUUUUUACCUAGCAGCAUCGGCAUCAGGCUUUUGCUCUUGCGAUAGUAGUGCUUGAAAUGCAGGGGUACAAAAUUGUUUACAUCUGUUGAGGUGAUCAUCAUUUUGGCAAAUUAGUUCUGUUUCCCCCCCCUGUAUUUUUAUAUUGUAAUAUUCAUUACAGUUGCUUAGGUUUUCCCCCCUAUAUUUUUAUAUUGUAAUAUUCAUUACAGUUGCU